rnacentral:siRNA from 1 species
UACAGAGGAGUCCUACCACGCAUC